GGGAGUAAAGGAGGAGGGAAUCCUAGGAGUCUCUAAAAAAGUCCUAAAUUUGGAAACAACAAAGUUUGAGGAGAGCCUCUACAAACCCGAACAUUCUCCAAACAUGGAGGACCAAAGACACUGUACAAAGCCAUCUCAUGGACCCUGGAAAAUUAUGGUGACUUCUUGAAUGCCAAAACUUAGAGCUGGUGGGAAAAGUGAGGAAAUGUUGACGCAGUAGCAAACAGCCAGAGACAGUCAGGCUGAGGAUGAUAUAAGUUUUGUACUCCAAAUCAGGUAUGCAGAAGGAAAUGCAUUCCUUUGCAUUCAACCAUUGGACCAGACACAUGCAGAGUGGUGUGGAAAAUAUGACUAUACCAGACAUAAAAGCUAGGAUGGAAGAACAUCAUCUCAGAGAAAAACUGGUUCGAAAAGAGAGAUACUCCAAUAAAAGCCCUCAGAAGGAAGUCUGUAGCAGGGGCCAAACCCAGUUGGAGCUGCUGAAGAGAGAGAGUUGGUAAACAGGGGUGCUGAAAUCUGGGGACCCAAUCUAAAGAUGGGAUGGAAUUCCACUUUGAGAGACGUGCAGGUGGUGGGUCUGUCACCUGAAAAGCAUGCCCAUGGAGGGUCUGGAGAGGGGUCAAAGGAAUAGCUUGCCCUGAAAUCCUGACUGCUGUUAACACUGUGAACUAAUGGAAUGUGUUCUACAACUGAUGUAUCUGCAAGGUCAUACCAUACCAGGUCUACAUACAAAUCUGGGCCACUUGGACAAUUUUUUGUUCAGAGAUUUCUCUGGGGCAGACAUAAUGGGGACAAACAAAACCAGAAAUUUCUUGCAUCCAGUUCAAGAAGAAGGCAUCAGUCAGAGAACUAUAACUUUUUUCCUCCUCUAGACAAAACUGUUGACAUUUGCAAACAGGUCUAUCUGAGCCAUUCCAUAUUUGCAGAAAAGGACUUAAACUAUAAAGUUCUUGAAGUACCAUUUGUGCUGGACAUUGUAAUUACUGCUCAGACGAUCUGCUGAGAUACUGACUUUGCUCAGAAGAUAGGCAGCUAUAUGUAUUACAGUGAUGAAUUCCGCAGCCAGCCUGCCUUUUGGCAGAGAACACUAGACUAAAUGCUGCUUUCAGUGUUGAUUUAGUACAUGAUCCUGGCAUUGGCUGUAAAUGCCUACGAUGUCUUUCUCUUGGUAUAAGGGAGAAAAGCUUUGAAUACUAGAUGAGCCACUCAUAAUUCCUGUACAUUUUAAUACUAGAUGAGCCACUCAUAAUGCCAUCUAGCCUCUGCAGGAUUCCACAGACAGUGUCAUUACAUUUAUUGACUGAGGUGAGCAUAACAGCCUGUUGUAGAUGCAACCAACAUUGUCAUUACAAAAGGAUUUGGAUGCACAAAUUUUUGACUGUAUCCAUUACAGAGAAGUAAGGACAUUGCAGAAUAGCCAUCAUUGACUCAGUUAUCUGAUUAGAGGUAGAUACACUGUCUGCAAUUAAUAGUGUGGAGGCCCCGUUUUGAGUUUGGCAAAUGGCAUCUAUUAAAAAUAGCAUAAAACCCAGAAGUUCCAAGAUAGGUGAAGUGUGUUUCUUGACUGAGAUCUAUCUGUGCUGCAUAUAGCUUUUAGAAUUGUCUCAUCAGUCAAGGAACACUGCAUUCUAAGAGUCCCAGCCAAGAAAUCAAAUUCAAGAUGAGUGACAUUAAAAUGAUCUUAUUUUGGUUAUACUACAUCUGUCUAUUUAAUCUUAAUUAGUAUUCUGUAUCACUGUUUUUUAACUUGCAUAUUUUGUUCAAAAUGUAACAAAUAGGCACAGUGAUUUCACCUGAAUAAUGUGGUAAAUGUACAUAAGUUGUAAGUAUUUGUACUAUAAACUUUGCAAACUGCUCAGCAAAGUGUUUAUUAUUAUAGAAAUCAAACCAAAAGUUAAAAAGUGUACUAUUGAAAAGCAUUUUUCAAAUAAAUGAUAGCAUUCUGUUCAAGGAAGGUUUCUAGUAUCAUCACAAACCAUUAAAUGGAGAAAAGUUGGAUUGUGAGAUGACAUGGAUUCUGAGAUGACUUAAUUUCUUUGAUCAAAGUAUUCCAGUGUUUUAUGUUUAUUUGUUCUGUUACUC